rnacentral:lncRNA from 1 species
GUUUCGAUGGGUCUUUGCUUAUUUUUGUCAUAAAUUGUAACUCAUAACUAUACAAAAACAGGUCCGCAAUAAGUGGUGCACAGUUAGUCCCCAUUGUAAUUCCGAUAAUCUGACGAUAUACGGAAUCCCCAAAGCGAACAAAAAUGUUAUCUAGUAAAAAUUCAAGGGCAUAUAUAGUAUAAAAGCAUGUCCAAUUAACACAG